rnacentral:lncRNA from 1 species
GGGAUUAACCCGGGCUACGCCCGGGAUUUUUAUUUUUUUUCUAAUUUAAGUUGUUAAAUUAUUUAUAUUUAGGUUAUGAUAUAUAUUUAUAUAAAUGUUAAGAUGCAUGUCAUAAUUAAAAUUUAUUUUUUAAUUUUAACACGUUAAAUUAACAUAUUUUUUACUAUUUAAAUAUUUUUUUGUAAUUUUGUUGGUUAUGUAGUUAUCAUAUUUAGCAAAACUAUCUGUUGAGUGUUGGAAUAAAUGUUUUAGAUAUUUAAUUAAACUGCAGAGUAUUUUCGGAUCGACCACAUGCUCAACAAUCGAUCGAUCCGUAAAAAGAUAGUCGAUCUCCUUGGCCAGGUAAGUACAAUUUUAGCAAAAAUAUCUUUGAUUUUCAAUUAUUAAGUAUAUAACUAUUCUUUUGAAUAUUGUUUUUUUGGAUUGUAUUUUUUGAUUAAAUUAUUGUAUUAUAAUGUUUAUGUAAAUAUUUUUUGUGAUGUUUGAAUUUGUGUUGUUAGUAUACUUAACCUAGAUGAUAUUGAUGUUUAACAAUUUAUUU